GCAUAUUUCAUUCCAUAGAUUAUUUUUUCCUACCAGUUAUGAAUCAGGGCUAAAAGCGUUUUAGAAAGAAAACACACUUUACUGAAGUCAGAUAUUGCAUUCAGUCAAAAUACAUGAGAAACUUAAAACCAGUUGGAAAUAUGAAAGGGGUUGUUCCAAAUUUUGACUGGGACCAGUGACUGGGACAGAAUCGGUUUGGACAGAUACAGACAGAGUAAAGAUGAGCUUAUUUCUGCAAUUUUCAGGCUCUUCUAUUCCAGCCCAAUAAGUAAGAAAAAUUUUAAUUAUAAUAUUUAUUUUCACCGUGUUAUUUUUUAUUUUCAGUGGCCUAAGCCAAUUUUUCUGCCAUUCCUCCACAAGGAUUUAGUAAAUUGUGCUGUCAGUCUGGGAACCCUUCUGCAGCAGCCUUGGACUCUCAGUUGAUGCACAUCUUCUCUUGAAAAGGAAUGAAAAGAGAUGGAGACAGCUCAAAGAAACUCCAAAUUCCCAAUAAAAACUUCCAGAAUUUGCAUCCAAAGUCAGGCCUGGUUUCCAGACUCGGUGAGGAACCAGACUUUUCUCUCGUGUCCUUAAUCCACUGGGUUAAAGCUUUACAGUGAACAGAGUACUGAGCAGGACAGAGCAGCACUUCAGAUUGCAGCUGCUAAAGGCAGCCAUCCCACUCAUCUCAGUGUUUGAAAUAAAUCCUUACAUGGGGAUCUGAAAGAGCUGGAC
rnacentral:lncRNA from 1 species